CUUUUAACGAGAGUUUGAUCCUGGCUCAGGAUGAACGCUGGCGGCGUGCUUAACACAUGCAAGUCGAGCGAAGCACUUUACUUGGAUUUCUUC
rnacentral:rRNA from 1 species